rnacentral:rRNA from 1 species
UACGUAGGGUGCAAGCGUUAAUCGGAAUUACUGGGCGUAAAGCGUGCGCAGGCGGUUAUGUAAGACAGAUGUGAAAUCCCCGGGCUCAACCUGGGAACUGCAUUUGUGACUGCAUAGCUAGAGUACGGUAGAGGGGGAUGGAAUUCCGCGUGUAGCAGUGAAAUGCGUCGAUAUGCGGAGGAACACCGGUGGCGAAGGCAAUCCCCUGGACCUGUACUGACGCUCAUGCACGAAAGCGUGGGGAGCAAACAGG